GGAACACCAGUGGCGAAAGCGGCCUCCUGGACCACUCCUGACACUCAGACGCGAAAGCUAGGGUAGCAAACGGGAUUAGAGACCCCGGUAGUCCUAGCCCUAAACGAUGUAGACUUGGCGUCGGUGGUUUAAACGCCAUCGGUGUCGAAGCUAACGCGAUAAGUCUACCGCCUGGGGACUACGGCCGCAAGGUUAAAACCCAAAGGAAUUGACGGGUCCCCGCACAAGCAGCGGAGCGUGUGGUUUAAUUCGUUGCUACACGAAGAACCUUACCUGGGUUUGACAUAGAGGUGGUAGGGAAGCGAAAGCGGACCGACCCUUCGGGGAGCCUCUACAGGUGUUGCAUGGCUGUCGUCAGCUCGUGUCGUGAGAUGUUCGGUUAAGUCCGCUAACGAGCGCAACCCUCGCUGUGUGUUACAAGUGUCACACGGUACUGCCGGUAUUAAGUCGGAGGAAGGUGGGGAUGACGUCAAGUCAGCAUGACCUUUAUAUCCAGGGCUACACACACGCUACAAUGGUCAGUACAAUAGGUUGCCAAGCCGCGAGGCGGAGCCAAUCCUAAAAAGCUGGCCUCAGUUCAGAUUGCAGUCUGCAACUCGACUGCAUGAAGUUGGAGUUGCUAGUGACCGCAGGUCAGCUAUACUGCGGUGAAUACGUUCCCGGGGAUUGUACACACCGCCCGUCAAGUCAUGGGAGCUGGCAACACCUGAAGCCGGUAUCCUAACCCGCAAGGGAGGGAGCUGUCAAAGGUGGGGUCGGUGACUGGGACUAAGUCGUAACAAGGUAACCGUA
rnacentral:rRNA from 1 species